GUUGAAUGAAGAGUAAAGCUACUAUACACAAAUUGUGUUAGAAUUGUGAGUGAGAGAUUCUCCUCCUAAAUUGGUCUUAUCUUGUGAGUGUUGUGAGCUCUCAAGUGGCGGCAUCUACACUUAUCUUGGAUUCAAUUCACCAUCCAAGUGGCGAGAUCAUUCACAACUCCACCGUCUUCUAAGUUUCCUUUCACUCAUCUCUUUUCCAUUCCCUUUCCAUUCUUAUUUUCAAUUCCAAAAUAUGUCUUGCUCUUAUUUUUGCUUCCUUUAAUUCAAUUCGGUUCAUAUCUUGCACAUCUUGUGUUUGAUUAAAUUCCACACCUAUAUUUGUCAUUCAUCUUCACCAUUAAUUGUGUUUUUCCUUUGGUCUUAUGGAAAUGAACCUUCACAUCUACUUAACACUUGUUAAGUUAAUGUCCACUAGGAAUUUUCCUUAGGCUUGCACCUAUAAUUGUUCUAAAAUCUAAAUCUAAGUGACAAAUGAACAAUCCUAAAAUCAACUCACAUCAUGUGGUAUCAAGAUCUAUGGUUGUGUUUAUCUUUUUGAGUUGAUUUGGCACUUUACAUUCAAGCAAUUUACAUUCUAGCACCUUUAAUUCUUGUCUUUAAAUUCAAGUACCUCUACUUUCUUGUUUUUAAAUGCAAGUACCUUUACUUUCUUGUCAUUUUUUUCUUGCUUUUAAUUUUUCAGCAACUUUUUUUGUUGCAGAAUUUUUUUUUCAGCCUUUCUAUAUUCAUAGCACUUUUCGCUUUUGAAUAUUUACAUUGUUGUCCAAAUUUUUUUCUUACCUCUUGUGAUUGUGUCAUAUGUUCUUAGUGUUCUAAGUGUCCUUACUUUGAUUCUACUUACUUGCUUUUAAUUGUGAAAUUUCCUCAUUCAUUAGAAACUUGUUUUAGUAGAAAUUGAUGUUAAGUUCCAAACAUAUGAUGUCAAGUGUUCAAUUAUCUUGAAUCCACCAAAUUUUUUUGUGAAAAUUGAAUGUUCUUUACAAUUUGCAUGAUGGAAUUAGGAUAAAAAAAAAGAGAAAAACGGCAAGCUCUUUUAACAAUACAAAAACAGUACCGUUUUUCUUCCAAGAACAAAAAAAAUAAAAAUACAACAAGGUAUUUGAAAAGAGCAAAAAUAGUACCGUUUUUACUGCACCAAAAACAGUGACUUUUUUUUUUAAAACAGCAAAAAACAGCAAGCUAUUUGUACACAGAAAAACAGUAUUGCAAUUACAAAACAGCAAGCACAUGUGAUGUUUUUUUAAAACAGCAAAGAAUUUUUUCCCAAAGGCAUCUUGUUUUUCACUUGGUUUCGAAAUUCAUUUUCACAACUUAUGGAUUCAACUUGAUUGGGAAAUUGCUUUCAACUUUGGGAAAUUUUGUAUCCUUUUCCUUUAACAUUUUUCUAAUCACCAAAGUUUCAUAGUUAAAAGUUUAGUGAGUUUCUUAGAGUCUUCUUUUGUGCUUUUCUUAUUUGUCAUCUUUUCAAAGUUUUGUCACAUUCUUUUCCUUCAACUUUGGUUUUUCUUGUUUUAAGCUUUUCUUGUUUGUCUUUUCUUCUUUCCUCAAGUUUUGUGGUGAAUUAUCUUUGACCAAGUGUGGAGGCUUUGUCAUAUUUCACUUGAGAGUUGUUCAUACCACAAGAAAGAUCUUGGUUAAGGAAAGAAUUUUUUUUUUCUUGGAGUGUUUGAGUGUUUUUCUUUGUUUUACCGCAAGCAUUACUUGUUUUUCUAACUUCUUUUCUUAACUUGUUUGUUACUUCUUUUUCUUGUUUGCUUAAUGUGAUGGCUAACAUUUCAAGUGGUGCAUCUUCCAAAUCUAAAUCAUAUCACAACAACCACCUUUUGGGAGAACUUGUGGAGGUCCAAAAACAACUUGUCCACACAGAAGAAAAACUUAGCCAUUUUGCCAAAAGAUUGCAAAGACUAGAAGAAGCUAAUGCAAGGCAAAAUCAAGAAGAUAAGGAUGAAUGGAAUUUGCACAAUUUUGCCAAAAGGCACCAUCAACACCAACCACACCAGCAACAUUCUUUUAAUUUUGUAAAGUUACCUAGUUUUAGUAGGUCCAAUGACCCUUCUUUGUAUUUAAAUUGGGAAGCUAAGGUUGAACACCUUUUUUAUGUGUAUAAGGUCACCGAAGACCAAAAGGUUAGGUUAGCUUCCUUAGUUUUCUUAGACUAUGCCAACCAAUGGUGGCACAAACUUGUAAUGGACAUUGGGCUAAACAAGAGGCCAAUUGUGGUCUCUUGGUAUGAUUUAAAGGCAUGUAUGCGCAUGAGGUUUGUUCCUCCUCCUUAUAGGAAGGAACACUUGUUGAAGUUCCAAAGACUUCAUCAAGGACAUAAGAUGGUAGAUGCAUAUUUUAAAGACUUCGAAACAUAUUUGACUAAAGUGAAUAUGCAUGAUAAUGAAGAGUCAAAGAUAAAAGGUUUGUAAGUGGUUUGUGAAAAGAAAUUAAAGAUCUUGUAGAAUUACAUGAGUACUUUUCUUUAAAGAAAGUAGUUCACCUAGCCAUCAAGGUAGAAUCACACCUUUUGAAAAAAAACAACUUUAAAAAAUACUCAUGAUGAUGGUUUCUACAAAUCUUAUUGGAAGGAUACAAACAGAAAUUUUACAAAAAAUAUUCCUUCCACUUUUUCAAAAGACACCACUUUUAAUUCUUCUAGGAAGGAUGCAAACAAAAUUUCUACACAAAAUUCUCCUUCCAAUUUUUCAAACAAACCACUUCUUCCCAAAAAGCUUCUACACAAAAUCCUUCUACCCCUAAAUCACCCACCAAAACUUCAAAACCAAAAUAUUUUAAAUGUUUAAGUUUUGGGCACAUAGCUGCCACAUGUCCAAAUAAACAAACCAUAAUGUUAAACAUGAUUAAACAAGCCCAACUUAACCUAAAAAACAAAGAAGAAAAUGAAAGAGAAAAAGAAUGACAAGAUACAAUGAGUCUCAUUCCUUCACCUCCAAGGUGUUUUCCUUCCUUAUCUUUUUCAUUACCUAAAAAUUCUAAAUACUUGACAUUUUUUAAGAAGUUUAGGGAUGCUAUUCCAAACCCUCCUAAAGGGUCUCACCUUUUAAGAGGUUUUUCACAAAAUAUUUCAUCCCAAAAUCUUCUUUCCAAACAUGUCUUGUUUCCAGAAUUCACAUAUAUCAUCUCCCUAAAUUUACUAAAAAUAAGUUUGCUUCACCCCUCCAUUCUCCAACUAACAUGAACAAACUUACUAUGUUAUUUGCAAGCCUACUAAAUUCGUGGACAAAUUCUUUCGCGCCUGGGGAGCAUGAUACAAACCCAAAGAUGACAAAAGACACUACAAGCAAAAUCCAAAAAGGGCAGUCAUCUCAAAAUACAAAGCUGAGACUCACCAAACAUCAAGACAAUAUCAGUAGAAGAAGAAGCCAUGAGCCAAAGCAUCUCAAAUUCUUCCUACUAGUCUUCUUAAGUGUUCAGAAAAUGUUGUAAAUAAGAUUGGGCUCACAUGAGGGGUCCAAAUAGUAAAAAUAAGCUAGAAUAAAGUACCUUUAGCAUAGUAGGGGGUGUGGGUAGCAUUCUAGCCUAUUCCUAGCCCAUUUGAAGGCAUUUUGACCUAGUUUCUAGAAGGAUAAGCCUAGAAUACGAGAUUGACUUAGUCAAACCUUAUGGCUGCCCACUUUUUCCCUUUUCCCAUUCUACCCUCUUUUCUUCUUUUCCAAGGCUCCUAAAUCUAUAAAUAUGGAGGCCUACCUCAUGUAUUCAUAAGUUGAAUGAAGAGUAAAGUUACUAUACACAAAUUGUGUUAGAAUUGUGAGUGAGAGAUUCUCCUCCUAAAUUGGUCUUAUCUUAGUGUUGUGAGCUCUCAAGUGGCGGCAUCUACACUUAUCUUGGAUUCAAUUCACCAUCCAAGUGGUGGGAUCAUUCACAACUCCACCAUCUUCUAAGUUUCCUUUCACUCAUCUUUUUUCCAUUCCAUUUCCAUUCUUAUUUUCAAUUCCAAAAUAUGUCUUGUUCUUGUUUUUGCUUCCUUUAAUUCAAUUUGGUUCAUGUCUUGCACAUCUUGUGUUUGAUUAAAUUUCACACUUAUAUUUGUCAUUCAUCUUCACCAUUAAUUGUGUUUUUCCUUUGGCCUUAUGGAAAUGAACCUUCACAUCUACUUAACACUUGUUAAGUUAAUGUCUAGUGGGAAUUUUCCUUAGGCUUUCACCUAUAAUUGUUCUAAAAUCUAAAUCUAAG
rnacentral:lncRNA from 1 species